rnacentral:lncRNA from 1 species
UUUCCACUAUUGGGCUCCCAGGCCUAAACACUUUAAGGAAUUAAGACACUGUAAAAUAACUCCUGUCUGACUGAAAAACACAUACAUGAAAAGAAUGUGGACAGUAAAAUGGGCAUAUUAUAUCACAGCACCACAAUAACAAGUAAGGAUCAAGGGCUGGGCUUGAAUCUUUGAUUUUUGCUGCCUUCAGAUGUCAUGGUGCCUUUUGCCUGCUUUCUUUCCUUUUACACAGCCUGUGCUUUAACUCGAAUGUAUACAAAGUAAGAGGACAUCAAUAUUUGGAAAUAGUGGUUCUUUCCCAACAAAAGCAUUUUUACCUCUUCCUACUCUAAGACAUUGAGAGUUGUUACUAUUCUAUCUUAAUGUCUAGAUGUUUGUACAGAGAGUUCUGAUGACUUGGCUGUAUUCCUGUAAUGUUUUCCCCAAGGUGGGAGAUAAAGCAUAUGCAUGUUAACUGCAUCCCGUCAUCCAUGAAAAGGCAUGACUUGCAUCCCUGUCCAUAGGUAGCAAAGUAAAAUGAGUCACAGGGUAAGAGCUGGUUUAGCUGCCAGGCCUUGAAUGUUGUAUAAUACAUUUCUUAUUGCAACUUAGUAUAAGAUCAGUGAGGGUUAGUAAUGAAAGAUACUAUGUAGUGAAAGAAAUCCCCCUCUCAAAGAAAUUUGCUUUAGCAGUUUCAUACACACACACACACACACACACACACACACACACACACACACACACUUUAUAUAUAAAAAAAAUUAUCUAGUACAAGAUGAAACAUUUUGGAGGUUGGAUGCACAACCAUGUGAAUGUACUUAUUUAGCAUCACUGAACUGCACACUUAAAAUGGUUCAGAUGGUAAAAUGUAUGUGUAUUUUACCACAAUUAAAAACUUAAAUUAGGAGUUCCCAUUGUGGCGUGUCGGAUUCGUUAACCACUGCACCACGACGGGAACUCCAGAAAUAGUUUCUAACUCGAAACAGAACCUAAUACAUCUAGUCACUGGCUAGUUUGAGUUGUUUUCCACAUUUGUUCUUAAAAAUAAUUCAGAAAGUAUCAUGCCAUUAAGGUUUUAUGAUGUACUGAGUUCCUGUUGUGGCUCAGCAGGUAAAGAACCCAACUUUGUCUCUGUGAGGAUGCGAGUUCAACCCCUGGCCUCGCUCAGUGGGUUAAGGAUCCACCAUUGCCGUGAGCUAUGGUGUAGGUUGCAGAUGUGGCUCAGAUCCAGUGUUGCUGUGGUGUAGGCGGGCAGCUGCUGCUCUGAUUCACCCCCAGUCCAGGAACUUCCAUAUGCCACAGGUGCAGCCAUAAAAAAGAAAUAUAUAUAUAUAUUUAUUUAUUUAUAUAUUUAUUUAUUACUGAAAUCCAGGAAACAACUGGUGGCAGCAUUCAAAGUUGGGUCAGAUACUCAGUUCCCCACAAGAAGUGAAGUGUCUAUGGUGUCAAUUCUGUUGACCUGCGGUCCAGCAGAUAAUCAUGUCUUCUUCACAGUGCUGUUAUCCCAUCUAGAUACGCUCCCUCUCCCAGGCUGCGGUCAAGGAGCCCUGGGCACCAGACAGCCCACAGGAGAGGCCCCAAGACUAAGCCAGAGAGCUCGGUACCAUGGCGGCUGGCAGGGAGAAGGCAGGUCGGCACAGCUGGGAAAGGCAGAGGUGUGGAACCAGAAAUGAAUGAACUGGGAACCCAGUGUAGGAAGCAGCCAGGGCAGGUAGAAGAAGGGCAGGAACUUGAAGAAGAGCAAGCAGAGGCAAAGUGUCAUUUUGGCUACAGUCUCCACCAUUUCACCUGAAAUGGGGUCAGCCAGGCCCUGCCUGUGCCCUCUGCCUGCCCCACGCCCUCCGGCUCAGAGACGGUCAAAUACCCAUGACAGGAAGAACUGGCUCCCAGGUCCACUUCUGGAUCUGCCUGUUGUCUCUGCAUCUCCCUCUCUCCCUCUUUCUUCCUCCUGCUCACUCUGGGCUCUGGAUCUCUGGAUCUUUCUCAUCUGCCUAUUGCACUAGGGGUGGGGGAAAGAAAGAGCCAUGGAACAGACUUUCUCUUCUCUCCAGACGUGUUCUCAACUUUACGUCUCUUGAGAUCAUGGCUGGGAGGAAUAACUGGACCAUUGUUAAUGUUCAGGACACACCCACACCACCAGCCUGGCCAGUAGUAUUGGGAAACAGAAGUUAAAGUUAACUGCACAUAGAUUUUGGAUAGUUCCUACCUACAGGGCCCCUCCUGUACCUUCCAGAGGACCCUUCUCUUAGUCCACUCUCUAUGAUGAGCCUGAUCACUUCCCACAGGAUUCCCUAGAUUUACUAGGCAGUUGUAUCAGGUCCACCCUUGGCAUCUUUCCCAGGUAUUCUUCUUAAGAUCCCUGAGUUGAUCAAGCCCUCUAAGUAAUACCUAUUUAUUCAAACCAAUGUUUAAAAUUUCUAUUUGCUUCAAAGUUAAGCCACGUGCCUUUCCCCAUACAACUAGAAUGUAUUCAUUCUUUGUAUUUGUUCUGUACAUUCUAUGUCAUUGUAUUUGUCUACUUGUUUAACAUGCUGUUAAAAUUCCUUAUACGUUCUUUAGAGCUGACAAUACUAUAUUGAAUCCUUCAGUUAAAGGAAGAAGAUAUUUGCUAUACCUGCUUAUGUAAAUGGAAAAAUGGAUGUAUAGUCACAAAGAUAAUAUUGCCUCUUAAAUAUGUAUAUACAUCAACUAGGGGGAAAAAUGCAGCUAUAAAUCAAAACAGAAUGUUACUAGAACUUAAAUCUUAUAUGGGAAAAAUCACCAGGGAUUUUGUUUAUUUAUACAAAACAAUUUUUCCUUUCAAUGGCUGCAUAAAACCUUUGGUUAGCUUUAGUGUGGAAGAUAUAUUUAUGUAGAAUAUUUAUAUUUAUAACCACAUUUCUCAUAUGAGAGAAAAGCAUAAGGAAGUGGUAUCAUUAAGAGAAAACAUAUAUUACACGUGACAAUUACACUGAAUAAUUCUUUCUUUGCACAUAAGAAAGGAUGGAUAUUAUAGCUUAAUAUAAGUUUUGCUGUAUUUUUGUACUUAUAUUUACUGCUUAAUACUUUUUAUAAAUGAAAAUGUCUUAAUUCUACUUCAUGGAGAUAUAUGUAGGACAUGAAUGCCUUAUUAAUUAAAGCGUUUCUUUAAAAAUAGAACAAGAAUACUAAGCAAUGUGUUGUUACUUAAAAUUAGCAUCUUCAAACAGGAUAAUUACUUUAAUGAGAAUUUCGGUGAUUUCUAGUAUGACAAUCUUUUUAUUGCUUUUCAAUUCUAAUCACUUAUUUUGCUCUAGAAAAUUAUAUCUGACUAUAGUGAUGAGUGAUACUGGCACAUGUUCAAUCAUCCUGGAGCCAAGAUCAAACAAGUAAAAAGGAAUAAACAUUUAUAGCAAUAGUUUGAUUAAUUCAAGCAAAAAAAACAGCCUAUUUUUGCUUUAAGCAUCUAGAUUCUUUCACUCUUGAAGACCUGGAUAAAGCUUCAAUUUCCCACUGUCUGUAAUUGUGUGAGCAUGUGUAUAAGUAUGUAUGUGUGUGUAUACUUUAAAGAAAAAAUAAGCCCUGCACCCCAAACCAAAAUAACUAUAACCCAUAGAGGAGAAGAAUUUUUGCCAGGUCAGGGUAGCUCCUUCCCAGGCCACUUGCACGGA